GAAAGCGAGGAUAUUAUAGUCAGAUAAUUUCUAUCGACACAUAGUACACUCCCUUUCCUUUCCUAUACUCCAUUGCCCCCUAUCGGUUGACUUGUGUGAAACGUGUAUCCUCUCACUUCUUCAAUCAAACGAGUCUUGGUGAAUAGUUGUAAUAAUUUGCUGAUUGUGAAUGUAUCAAGUUUAUUGGAUUGUUACCCCCAAACUCGCACUGUUACCAUGAUGAUAUUUAUAUUUUUAUGGGAUCAAUUAUGGGCAUCGAAUACUUCAUACCUACAUGGGUAGCUGCAUACGAGACCGAUAUACCUGGAACUUUGAAUCAUUGGCAAUGAUGUGGCAUGUAACAUCUCAGAACAUGUUUCAAAAACAUGAAUUUUCUAUUAAUUUUGUAAUAAUAAUGCUGCUGACCUUAUCAUUGAUAGACCAUCAAGUUAUCGGACAAAAUGAGAUUGAUCCAGCUGGUCAAGGAGUAUGUACUCAUUUGGUCAGUCAGUCAGAUACGAUUGUUACAUCAACGAUGCAAAGCAGAAUAGUUCCGUACAGCGGUGAAUGCUCGUUUCAUCAUCAUACCUCUGCCUGUAUGGUCUAUAAAGUAUCAUAUCAACCAAUAUACAAGAUCACUUCUAGGUUGAAUUAUAUAACGCAAUACAAGUGCUGUUACGGCUGGAAGAGAGUCGGCCAGAAAUGUGAAAAAGUUCCAACAACUGCGCCAAAACCACCACAAGGCCCAAUUGUACCUAAUGUAGGAUAUCCGAUCCAGCCAGGCCUCGGUGGAAGAGGACAAAGACCAAAUCCUGGAUAUGGCAUUGGCCACAGAGGGUUCGGACCUGGAGCCUUUAAACCAAGGCCAGGAUUUGGUGCACCAACCACGACAGAAAGCCCGCCAAACAGGGGUGGACAGGGUGGUAGACCAAAUUUUAAUCCAAGACCAGGAUUUGGACCAGGAAGUGAUAGAGGGUUCGGCCCUAGAACAGAAACUGGAACUGGUGGUGGUGGAAGGCCAAACGUUGGAAGGGAUCCUGGAUAUGGAUUUCAAGGAACGCAGAUUCCUGAUUACUCCGGUGGGCCACAAUAUCCUCAAGGACCUCAGUUUGGAACCCCACCAUUGACACCAAAUCCUCCUGGAUCUCGCGGUCAUAUUGGAGUUAAUGCUGGCAGGGGAAGACCAAACAAUGGAGGUCCAGGAAAUGGUAUUAAACCAGGGGUAAUACCUGGUAGAUUCCCUGAUAAAACAAAAGGAAAUGGACCUGCAGAGGAAGACAAAAAGGGAAGUGGACAUAUGAACACAUCCAAGAAAUCAGGUAGCAUUGUGACUAUAAUGGGUGCUCUUCUUGGUGUCUUCGGACUAUUUGGACUAGGUGCAUUGUUAAUGAUGUACCUUAGUAGGACACGUGAUACUUCAGGACGAAGAAGUGUUAGACUUAGAAGGUCAUCAUUGAGAGAUGCUGCUGGACGCGAUUCAUCGGAGGCUCACAAAUCAUGGAAAUUCUCAAUUUAUCAGUUCCGUCUUCAAUGAUAUCAGUCUAUUCAAUGAGUCACAAUUCAAUUUUGAACUUCUAUACACAACCAUACACGUAUAUUAAAACCUUCCAAGAGGGAACGUUUAAAGAAUGGGCAUCAAUAAAGAAGACCAAUUCAUAUUUAGUUUUGAGAAUAAUACUGCUUUACUAAUUAUAACGGAUUUAAAUAUAAAAAAUAAAUUGGAUAUAAAGAUCGAAACACAAAAUACAGAAGUAGCUGAUAUCGCUUGAUUAAAAAAUAUUUAUUUGUAGAUCCAGUUUAGUGUCCAGAUGAAGGAACAAACGUCUGAAAUAAUGUGUAUACUAAUUAUAAUAUCUCAAAAGUUUAAUUGCUCCUUCAACUUGAGAGAUUGCCAUUCUUGUAACCUCCUCUGAUUUAACGAAGAGUUUCCUUAUUGUCAAAUCUGCAAAAAAAAAUUGGGUUUUUUUCUUUUUAAAUAGUGUAAUGCAUUGCCAGCUUUCACAUUUGCAUACCCCACGUUGUACAUACAAAUGCGUUGUGAGAAAUGAAUAAGGACUGUGUAAAAGUCAUGACUUUCUAAAAUUUUCAUCUAAUUUUGAUCAUAUUGUUGUUGAAACUUUAGGGUUAUGCAAAUUUGAUUUGUUUAAAUCUUAAACCUCUUUUUCUCGGGUGCACUUCAUCUUCUAAAGGGCCAAACCGAAGAGUACAUGCCUUUAAAUUAAUAUGGAACAUUUUUCCAUAACAUACUAAAGAGGCCAAUUAGGUAAAAAGUUCCAAUACAUACACAACCCUAUCCACUUUUUCUCUCUUUUUUUACUAUUUAAACCACGUUCAUAUAAUCAUAUCUGACACAGAGCACCAUCUGAAAAAUCGUUCCUAGAGUAAAUGCUGAUUUGUGAAAUUAUAUCGUUUUCAAAACUGAACCGAAUUCAAUUUAGUUCUGACAAAAGCAGAAAAAAUGAAAUUUAUAUCAGUUAGUAUGGCAAAAAUGCAGCAGAAACUAAUAGAAUUAUGUUUGGGGAUAUAUUUAUCUUAUGUCAAGAAUGUGCCAAAUUUUAAAAACUUUAUGAACAAUAAAGGGUUCAAUUAAAUUUAAAAUCUAAGUUGCACGCACAAAUUUAUUUUAGUUGUGCACCACGGAGUGUUCUAAUUGAUAGAUUUGCUUUUUGCUUUGAUUUAUUGUUUUCUUCUGCUGUCAUACAUUCGUAUAUUAUAUUUUUCGUUACAUAACAAACGUAACAUAUUGAUUACUCAUUUUUGGCAUGAAUCAUAGAGAAAAAAAUGGGCUGAAUAAUAAUAAUUCAAAACAAAAAUGAUCUACGAUAAAAUUAUUGUAUGAUUCACAAUUUACAGGAUUGUCAUCAUAAGCAGAUUGCUUGAAAAAUAAAUGACAACCUAGAAUUAAAACUCAUGAAAUUGAUAAUACAUGCAGCAGAAUGGUUAUGUUCAUAUUUUGAAUAAUGUAGAUAGAGAUGAUAAGGAUGAUGGUGACAAAGAUGGAUUGUAUACACUCUUCUAAACAAUUCCCGCAUUAUAUUGGACAUAGACACUGAGUAUGUUGCUGCCAAAUCCCGUUUCGGGUCAAAUGUGAUAACAGGCCCAAUGUGAAAUAUGGAACUAGAACGCACUAACAGAUGUACAGAUAUCAUUUUAAAAUCAUUGGUAUUUUUAAAUUCAUUACUUGUCGGCAUAUGCAGACUUGCUGUACUCCACCAACUUUAUUGAUGAGUGUGAGCAGGUCACUUACUAACUAAGUUUUUGAGUGAUUUUGGAUUUGAAAGAAUGACUUUAUCAAUGUUGUGUCCAUGUUUAAUUCGUUCCAAUCUUUAGUAGUUCGAAGGAGGAAGCUUUAUUUAUGUAGACGCAGGAGCUUGAUGCUAUUUCCUCGAGUCUGGCGGGUAGUUUGCUGGAUGAAGUUUUUUUGGUUGAUGCUGCAACAAGACCUUUGAUUAUUUGGAACAUUAGGCUCAGUCUACUGUGUUUCCGUCUGACUUCCAAUGAGUACCAUUCUAAGACCCGUAACAUGGUUGUGCUGGUUCGUCUGUAGCUCCCCAUACAGAAACGAGCUGUCUUUCUCUAAAUGGCUUCUAUCUUCUCGGUAUCCUUCUUGUAACGGAGCGGGGAUCCCAUGCAGGGGAGGCGUAUUCCAGGAUUGGUCUCACCAACGUUUGGUAGGAAAGUUGUUUUUAUUUCCUUGGCAGCAGACCAGGUUCCUUCUCAGGAAACCAAGUACUCUGGUAGUCUGUUAUCCAUUUCAACACCAAGAGGCUACACCAAGGUGAGAGCAUGUAGACACUUCUUGUAGUUUUUGGCCACAGAAGGUGUAAUCUCUUUCUGCAGGAGUCUUUACUGGCCUUGGAUGGUACUUGCAUGAUGACACAUUUGGCUGGAUAGAAGGACAUGGCCCAUUUAUUCUGCCACUCUUCUAGUUUUGACAGAUCGUCUUGGAGGAUUUGAAAGUCAUUGUGCCAAAAGUGUAAAUGACGCAAUCAUCGGCGAACAGCCUUGUCGUUGACAGGAGGCCAUCAGGUAGAUCAUUGAUAUACAUAAGAAAAUCUAGUGGGCCUGUUAAUGUGCCCUGGGGCACAUGAGAGCACUGGCAACUCCUUAGAGGAAUAUGACCAAGACUGUUUGAGAGAAAUGUCUUUCCCACUUUAGGAGCGAUCCAGUAAUGCGCAAAAUGAUUAAACUUUACUCAGUAGCAGACCAAUAAUGUUCCAAUCGAAAAAGAAAUAGCUCUUUUUGUUCGCAUCAUUGUUAAUGAUGAUGAAACAUAAAACAAAUGCUAUAUAGCUCAAAGCAAACAAAUAGCCUAGAAAAAGCAUAUUUUUUAAGAAAUUAAAAAAGUGCGCAUCCUUGCAUUUGAUUUUGGUUUUAUAUCAGUCGCGAUUAUGAGAAUACAAUCAAAGCAGUGUAUGCCUUAUCUUAGCCAAUUAAACUUUCAAGCACUUGCUUAUUAUUUGCUCCACAUGUCCAUACUUAAAUUCCUUUAUCGGGUCCUUCAUGCGUAAUGAUUCAUGCAAAACACUUUCCAAAGGCUAAAAAAUCCAACUGCCUCUUUUAUGAGGUCAAUCCAUUAUCAUUUUUAUCAUCAUUAUGUCACACUUCAUUAUAUAUAAUUGACUUAAAGUCAAUAUUCAUCAUUGUCAUGGGUGCCGAUCGAUGUUAAUGGUUGGAAAAUGACUGACAUAAAUUUUGUUUUCUGUGAGUGAUUUUUUUUUUCACCCCAUGCAGCAAAAACUGUCUCAACGCGACAUUUGUGCAAAAACUGACACCACAAACGGUUACCCCUUAGAGAAAUUGUCGCCUAAUUUAGGCAACAAUUUGUGGAGGAAGGGACGUACACCACAACGUUGCCCCAUUUCUUCUCACCACUAUCCUAAUACAGCAGCAACUGCCAACACACGCUAAUACAAAAGAGUUAUAAAAAAAAACACGUUUUAGGUUCAUUAAAAAGUGUUAAUGCCACCCCACUUUCCUUUUCACUGCAUAGGCAUGAAUCAUUACACGCAAUACAACUAUAAUAGCACUCUAUUGAACAACAGGCAUCUGGAUUGAUUACUCAACCAUCAAUGACACAUUCUCCCCUCCUCUCUUUUUCUCUCUCUCUCCUUCUCCCUAUCUCUAUGCAUCUCUCUUAACAUUGAUCAUGUUGAUGCUUCAAACUACACACCUCAUUUUAGGGUGUUUUUUGCAAUAAAUCAAUAAUGGUGAAUUACUUUUCUUGCAUUUUCCAAACGUGAUAAUGAGAAUUAGACCAAAUAUAUAUUAGACCAAUUGCAAAUUGGACCAAAUUAUUAGUAGACCAAAUGGGUUAAGUCCAUGUGUUGAUAGACAAACAGAGAAUUAGUCCAACUGUUGUUAGACCAAGUGAAUAAACUGAAUUUCUAUAAAAUAUAUAUCAGCCUCCCCCAUUUAGAUCAAACGGUGAGUAUCAAAUUGGCUAUUCCACGAUUCGGCAAUUAUACCUAGUGGUCAUGAGACCAAGCAAGAAUUCGACCAAGUCGUACAUAAAUUUUAACCAGACGGUCACUAGAGCAUAUGGCUUUAGCUCAUAUGGCAUUAGACGAUCAGAGUAUUUGACCAACUUCUACUGCUAAAUUAAUAAAUAAAAUCAAUAAAUAAUACAAAUAAAAAUACGCACACACACACACACAACCUUACCAACACAACGCUCACCUCUAACACAACACACACAACCUUACAACAAACAGCGACACGGAAGCACAUACACUACUCAUCAGACUGGUGGUUGAAGAAAAUUUGAGCAUGUUGAUGGGCGACGGUGGUUCAAGGUUUCUUUUUACUUACACAAAUUGGCGCCUCGCUUCGCCACGCGACAAAUUGUCGCGAGACGACAAUUUGUGCAGGGGUGACAAUUUGUGGUGUCAGUAUUUGCACAAAUUGUCGCAGGUUGACAAUUUGCGGUGCAACAGGGGUCGAGAGCAAUGCAAGUAUAAUUCUUUAGUGGGCCACACAUGGUGUAAAGGACAAAUUAAAACAGCGAGGGUGCCAAGAUUCUGACUUUUUAAAAUAAAAUGAAAUUUAGUAAUAAAUUAUUUUGACAUAUUUUAACAUAUCCUAUUCGCCAUUUGUCUUUUCCUUUCUUUCUUAUGUGAGAUAUACAUGUAUCCUCCAUCCCCGAGAUGAACACCUAUGAUCAUUAUUAUCAUCUUUGCCUUUUAUUAUCCCUAUUGCCUUCUGCUCUCAAUGUCAUGAUAAAUCAAUCAUAUUCCAUUUAAUUUCUCAGAAUAUAGAGCAGGGAUUCUCAAACUUUUUCUUUGAAGGGCCAGAUGAGACUCCAAGUAAAACUGAAAGGGCCAGGGUGAAAUAGAAAAAAAAUGUGCGCGAAGCGCGAUGACCCUUGCAGUCGGGGUCCUAUAUGCUCUCUUGUGCAAUCUGGCCCUUAUUUUGGGAGCAUUAAUCCAACAAAUUUAUAACAGAAUCAUAUGGAACGCAGGCAAAAUUAGAAAAGAUUUCAAAAUACAGCGAGAGUCAAUAUUAAUGAUAACGAAAUUGUAGUACUUUGUUAAAAGGAAUCUAGAUUGUACCUAUGCAUACCUGGUAUUGGGGAGAUAAUAAUAUCUUGAAGUAUCAAUAUGUUUUGUAGUCAAAGUAGAAUGAAUAAUAGAGCAUGUCUGUUGUAGACUCUAACAAGGAUGUCAGUCUCCUGGUCACUUUCAAUAUAUGGGAAAAGUGACAGUCUGUCAGCAAAAAGUUGCUUGAACCUUGGCACAAAAGGUGUAAUUGCCAGGGGCCGCGGAAGCGGGUGGGGGGCUUCAGUCCCCCACCUUUUUCCCGAACCAUGUACAUAAACGUAAAAAUUACCAUAUGAUUGUAAUUUUUUUGCAUGGCCAGCCCCCCCCCCCUUGAAAACCGUUCAGCGGCCCCUGUCAAGGUACUUCGGCAUGAGUUAGUUCUUUAAAAUGUUCAUUGUGGAAAGUGCACUUUGGCACCUGUAUGUAGAUCCAAACAUGGUGAGAACAGCGCUGGUCAUCUAAUAAGAAAGUAGAUCGAACAGACGGAAAAGACUCCACUAAAUUUUAUUUAUUUAAAAGUCAAAUUAAUUUGACUGCCAUACGUAAUUUUAUUACGGUUAGGGCUACAAGGAUACACAAUAAUUGAGCUAUGUUUCAUAUUGUGACUUAAAAGUGAUUAAAAAAAACCCAGCAGAGUCUCGCGGGCCGGAUUGAGAAGCUCAGCGGGCCGUAGUUUGAGAACCCCUGGUAUAGAGGAAUUAAAUCGAGUCAAUAAGUGUUUACUAUUAUAUGUACAUGUACAUCUGAUCUCUUCAUCAUAAACAGAAAAGGUUCAUAGUUCUUCGUAUGUUACGUAAUAAGGGAUAUUAAGUACUCAAGUUUGAAAUAUCAUUUACUUUGGAUAUGAAUGUCAUCUCUUGAUAUUAAAAUUUUAUAUUUGUGCUAAAGCUUAACAAGUUUGUCAAUUUUUAAUUUUUGUUAAAAAAUGUCGAUUUCGAUAUCAAGCAGCCAAUUGCAUUCCAUAAAAACAGUCAUCAAAUAAUCGGAUUUAAAAUCUGAAUGUUAUGACAUUUGGAAAAAAAAUACACUGAAAAAUCCAUACAAAGUAGUCAAGGAAUAACCAAGUCAUGACAUUUCAAAGUCUUAAGAUUUUUAUUUCAGCAACGGCCCUAUACAUGCACGUCUUAAUGGAUAUACAAUGAGCAGACUGGUGGUGUCAUAUCCCCACUUAUACUUUUAUGCUAUUCAAAAUUUGCCUUCCAAGAGGAAAAAAAAAGAUUGACUAAAUUGUUGCUGCAACUUAGUUUGCUACAAGGAAAAAUGUCAUACACACAUGCAUGCAAAUGUGAAAUAAUUAUCCUUGAUUCGGGUAAUACAUGGGACAUGUAAGAAAAGGGAAAGUCACGGGGACUUGAUAUCAUCAGCCCAUCUAAUGAAUAUUCAUUUACCUUGGAAGUAGGCAUAAAGUUAUACACAUCUUAUUUGCCCCCUCUGCAUCCAAAAGUUGGUACCUAAAUCUAGCUCAUAAAUGUAUGCUUGCAUUUCAGUGUUUUCACAAAAUAUUACUGAACUUAAACAUUGUGAUAUCUUCGUAAUUUGUUCUAAAUUUUUAAUGAAACUUUAGUGUUAGAUAUGAUUAUUUUCAUCGCGGAGUUGCCUUGCUUUUAAUUCCAAAUGCCGCUACUCAAUUCCAACAUCGGCGCUUGUUUUAUUCAACACUGGUGCAUUUGAAAAAGAUAAGUCCCUAUAUUGAUUUCAACUCCGGCGUCGGUAAAAACCUACGAAAGAAAAGUGCCACGAAGAAGAGGAAGAAAAAAACACAACACUAUUUCUACUAUGCAGAUUGAGUUUAGCUCGUAUACAGAUCGCAACAUCUCUUACUGAGCUCGGAAUGACUCGUAGUGCGAGUUGUGUACCGUGGGUCACAGCAUGGGGAGGGGG
rnacentral:misc_RNA from 1 species